rnacentral:rRNA from 1 species
UACGAAGGGUGCAAGCGUUACUCGGAAUUACUGGGCGUAAAGGGUGCGUAGGUGGUUCUUUAAGUCUGCUGUGAAAGCCCCGGGCUCAACCUGGGAAUGGCAGUGGAUACUGGAGAGCUAGAGUGCGGUAGAGGGUAGUGGAAUUCCCGGUGUAGCAGUGAAAUGCGUAGAGAUCGGGAGGAAUACCUGUGGCGAAGGCGGCCUACUGGGCCGGACCUGACGCUGAGACGCGAAGGCGUGGGGAGCGAACGGG